UGCGGGGUGGUGUAAUGGUAGCACGAUGCUCUCUGGAAGCAUAAAUCGGGGUUCGAAUCCCUGCCCCGCAGCCA
rnacentral:tRNA from 1 species